UCUUACUAAACCCUCUCUACUCCUUAGCGUGGCCAUGCGAAUCACUUUCGAUCGUCAUCAUCACCGGUGUUGCUUGGAUCUCCAUCGUCAUGGGCUUCUUCCAGUGGUGGGUCAUCGUCAUGGGUGUUCUCUGGUUGGUUUUCGUCGUCGCGUAGGUGUUCUUCGGUUGGUUUUUGUCGUCGCAUGGGCGUUGUUCUUCUGUUUGUUCUUUCGAUGGCUAUUCGUCAUUGUUGUUCUUCUGGUGGUUCAGCUCGCCGUUCGUCUAGCUUAUUCCGGUCGUGGAGGUGGGUUGUUGGCGUAGAUCUAUAGAUUUAGUUGUGGGCUUUUCCUAUCCGAUCAUCUAUUUGCUCAAUCUACUCGUGGGUCUUCCGAUCCGGUCGUUGGCGUUGUAUUUUUGUUAGAUCUGUCGUCUCAACUCUGUUCACAAGGUCCGGUGCUCGCCAGUGUUCCAAUUUUUGAGCUCUGGUUCGGAUCUCUUCAAGUUUGUGGGUUGUUUAAGUUGUUUGCUUGGAAAGUUCAAAUCGGCAUCUUCGAGAAGCACACAGAAGCAUUGUUUGGUAGACCAGAAAUUGCUAUAACACCUCAAGGAACCAUCGAUCCCUCCAAAGAUGAACAGUUGAAGAUUAGCUUUGGUGGUAUGAAGGGAUUGGUUUUAGAAGCUGUCACUUUUGGUUCUUUCCUCUGGGAUGUUGAAAGCUAUGUGGAUUCAAGGCCCAAGUUGCUGAGAAGACCAAUCCAAAUGAAAGGGUAGGUGAAACGAAAGACUCAGAAUGAGCCAUGCCUCUCAAUCUUCCUUACUACACAUGUGAACAAAGAAAAGAAUCGAGCAUGCAAAUGGAAGAAAAGAAAGAGGAAGAAGAGACCAACAAUAGCAUGUACGUGGUUCGGCAAAAUGAUGCCUACAUCCACGGGAAGGAAGAAUCGUUUAUUGAAGACCUUACAAAGAUAAGUUUGUAUUUUCUUUACAGACCGUAUACUAAAACAGAAUGAUCAAGUUAUUUUUCGAUUUGAAUGUAACCUAUAUAUAUAUGAUUACAUAUUUGUUAUGAAGUCUGUUUAGAAAAUAAAAACUAGUCGUUGAGCUAUUUGAGAUUAAAUUUUUUGAAAUCUCCACCUUAAUCUCAACUUUGAAGCCUUCUACCUUCCAGUUCUGACUAUCGAUUACCCAUUUUCAGGUAACAUGAAGUCAAACUGAUCAAGACACUUGCUGAGCUUGAGCUUCGAGACAGGUUUGGUAAGCAUGUCUGCUACGUUCUCCGAGAUCGAAACAAGCUCGGUCAGCUGCAGAAAUUGGAAGUUCAGCUACUGCCCUCGCAACGUUGUUGCGUUGUUCAUAGAGUGUUACAAUGCUCUUCAUCCUGGAGCCCGAGGUGUUGUAAUGCUGAGAUGCAGCGUCAUGACGCUGUUCAUCCCAGUCCAAAAAGACGCAUGCAUUCGUGAGCUGCUUCGUAGGUUUGGUUGGUUUCUAGUCCAGUUCAACCCACUUUGGUCCAGUUCAGCCUCAUUUGGAGCUU